AAAAAGAAGAAGAAAAGCAUUUCAUCUUUCUGACCUUUCACUUUAUUCCCCUUGAUACCUGAAUGCAUGAUGCUGCUGCUAGCUGGAGCUCAACUCCAAGCUACUUCAGAUCCAGCAGGUGAAACAGCCUCCAGUGGAAUAGCAGGUCAGCUGAUCAGCUGAACAUCAUCAACGUGGUUCAGAACCCUGAGAGUUUUGCUCCUAGUGCUCCUGUGAACAACCCUUUCCCACCUCAUCACACUCAGCAGGAGGUCAAUACGAUGCACGGCGUCGCCAUGGCUAUGGUACCCGAGGAAAAUCCUCCAGCGUACAGCGAGAAAAUGUAAUUAGACCACAGA